CUUUACUUCUCACUUCAACUUCACUAUGUGUUUGUGCUUAUCUCUCAGGUGCCACAACGCUCCUGUCUCCUUUUCCAGAAUGACUCAGGUACAAAGUACUGUUACAGUUGUCCUUCCACUACUACUCUCAUCCUCCUGCCAAGAAGAAACUCACUUGUAAGGUUGAAUUCAGGGCUCACAUGUUUCUGUCACAUAAGAGGCACAGUUCUGGAAGGGAACUGGAAAGAAUCCUAAAGGUAACUUCAUGUGAUAUCUUUAUUUUCCUAAU
rnacentral:lncRNA from 1 species